rnacentral:rRNA from 1 species
GACGAACGCUGGCGGCGUGCUUAACACAUGCAAGUCGAACGGAAAGGCCCUGCUUUUGUGGGGUGCUCGAGUGGCGAACGGGUGAGUAACACGUGAGUAACCUGCCCUUGACUUUGGGAUAACUUCAGGAAACUGGGGCUAAUACCGGAUAGGAGCUCCUGCUGCAUGGUGGGGGUUGGAAAGUUUCGGCGGUUGGGGAUGGACUCGCGGCUUAUCAGCUUGUUGGUGGGGUAGUGGCUUACCAAGGCUUUGACGGGUAGCCGGCCUGAGAGGGUGACCGGCCACAUUGGGACUGAGAUACGGCCCAGACUCCUACGGGAGGCAGCAGUGGGGAAUAUUGCACAAUGGGCGGAAGCCUGAUGCAGCAACGCCGCGUGCGGGAUGACGGCCUUCGGGUUGUAAACCGCUUUCGCCUGUGACGAAGCGUGAGUGACGGUAAUGGGUAAAGAAGCACCGGCUAACUACGUGCCAGCAGCCGCGGUGAUACGUAGGGUGCGAGCGUUGUCCGGAUUUAUUGGGCGUAAAGGGCUCGUAGGUGGUUGAUCGCGUCGGAAGUGUAAUCUUGGGGCUUAACCCUGAGCGUGCUUUCGAUACGGGUUGACUUGAGGAAGGUAGGGGAGAAUGGAAUUCCUGGUGGAGCGGUGGAAUGCGCAGAUAUCAGGAGGAACACCAGUGGCGAAGGCGGUUCUCUGGGCCUUUCCUGACGCUGAGGAGCGAAAGCGUGGGGAGCGAACAGGCUUAGAUACCCUGGUAGUCCACGCUGUAAACGGUGGGUACUAGGUGUGGGGUCCAUUCCACGGGUUCCGUGCCGUAGCUAACGCUUUAAGUACCCCGCCUGGGGAGUACGGCCGCAAGGCUAAAACUCAAAGGAAUUGACGGGGCCCCGCACAAGCGGCGGAGCAUGCGGAUUAAUUCGAUGCAACGCGUAGAACCUUACCCGGGUUUGACAUGGAUCGGGAGUGCUCAGAGAUGGGUGUGCCUCUUUUGGGGUCGGUUCACAGGUGGUGCAUGGCUGUCGUCAGCUCGUGUCGUGAGAUGCUGGGUUAAGUCCCGCAACGAGCGCAACCCUUGUUCACUGUUGCCAGCACGUUAUGGUGGGGACUCAGUGGAGACCGCCGGGGUCAACUCGGAGGAAGGUGGGGAUGACGUCAAGUCAUCAUGCCCCUUAUGUCCAGGGCUUCACGCAUGCCACAAUGGCUGGUACAGAGAGUGGCGAGCCUGUGAGGGUGAGCGAAUCUCGGAAAGCCGGUCUCAGUUCGGAUUGGGGUCUGCAACUCGACCUCAUGAAGUCGGAGUCGCUAGUAAUCGCAGAUCAGCAACGCUGCGGUGAAUACGUUCCCGGGGCU